rnacentral:rRNA from 1 species
AUUGAACGCUGGCGGCAUGCCUUACACAUGCAAGUCGAACGGCAGCACGGGUGCUUGCACCUGGUGGCGAGUGGCGAACGGGUGAGUAAUACAUCUGAACAUGUCCUGUAGUGGGGGAUAGCCCGGCGAAAGCCGGAUUAAUACCGCAUACGAUCUCCGGAUGAAAGCGGGGGCCCUUCGGGCCUCGCGCUAUAGGGUUGGCCGAUGGCGGAUUAGCUAGUUGGCGGGGUAAAGGCCUACCAAGGCGACGAUCAGUAGCUGGUCUGAGAGGACGAGCAGCCACACUGGGACUGAGACACGGCCCAGACUCCUACGGGAGGCAGCAGUGGGGAAUUUUGGACAAUGGGCGAAAGCCUGAUCCAGCAAUGCCGCGUGUGUGAAGAAGGCCUUCGGGUUGUAAAGCACUUUUGUCCGGAAAGAAAUCCUUGGCCCUAAUACGGUCGGGGGAUGACGGUACCGGAAGAAUAAGCACCGGCUAACUACGUG